GCUUGGAUGGCUCAGUUGGUUAGAGCGCAGGUCUCAUACUUAAGUAUGACCGCUUACACAAGUGGGCAAUCCUGAGGUCAUGAGUUCGAUCCUCAUUCCGAGCA
rfam:Trametes versicolor FP-101664 SS1 unplaced genomic scaffold TRAVEscaffold_13, whole genome shotgun sequence.